rnacentral:rRNA from 1 species
UACGUAGGUGGCAAGCGUUGUCCGGAUUUACUGGGCGUAAAGGGAGCGUAGGUGGAUAUUUAAGUGGGAUGUGAAAUACUCGGGCUUAACCUGGGUGCUGCAUUCCAAACUGGAUAUCUAGAGUGCAGGAGAGGAAAGUAGAAUUCCUAGUGUAGCGGUGAAAUGCGUAGAGAUUAGGAAGAAUACCAGUGGCGAAGGCGACUUUCUGGACUGUAACUGACACUGAGGCUCGAAAAGCGUGGGGAGCAAACAGG